rnacentral:rRNA from 1 species
AUGCCUCCUCCUCAUCCCCAGCUGGCGGCUCGACCUCUCGCGCCCUCGCCGCCAUCAACCUCUCGUGCCCUCACAUGCCAGCCGCCGAUCUCCCGCGCCCUCACCCGCCAGCAGCCGAAGUCGCUCUCCCCCACCGACCGCCGUGCUCGGGAUUUAUGGCUGCUCCUUUGCCUCGCCCAUCUAGAUCCGCCAUCGCCUCCCUCCCUUGCUGAUGUUCAUCUUAUCUAUUUAUGCAGGGGGGCUCGUCCUUCCGUGGUGCUCAGCCACCGUCCGAUUUGGAGGGAGAAUAGGAGACCCCAACGAAAACGAGCGUGCUAG